GCCUAACACAUGCAAGUCGAACGGUAACAGGAAGCAGCUUGCUGUUUCGCUGACGAGUGGCGGACGGGUGAGUAAUGUCUGGGAAACUGCCUGAUGGAGGGGGAUAACUACUGGAAACGGUAGCUAAUACCGCAUAACGUCGCAAGACCAAAGAGGGGGACCUUCGGGCCUCUUGCCAUCGGAUGUGCCCAGAUGGGAUUAGCUUGUUGGUGGGGUAACGGCUCACCAAGGCGACGAUCCCUAGCUGGUCUGAGAGGAUGACCAGCCACACUGGAACUGAGACACGGUCCAGACUCCUACGGGAGGCAGCAGUGGGGAAUAUUGCACAAUGGGCGCAAGCCUGAUGCAGCCAUGCCGCGUGUAUGAAGAAGGCCUUCGGGUUGUAAAGUACUUUCAGCGGGGAGGAAGGGAGUAAAGUUAAUACCUUUGCUCAUUGACGUUACCCGCAGAAGAAGCACCGGCUAACUCCGUGCCAGCAGCCGCGGUAAUACGGAGGGUGCAAGCGUUAAUCGGAAUUACUGGGCGUAAAGCGCACGCAGGCGGUUUGUUAAGUCAGAUGUGAAAUCCCCGGGCUCAACCUGGGAACUGCAUCUGAUACUGGCAAGCUUGAGUCUCGUAGAGGGGGGUAGAAUUCCAGGUGUAGCGGUGAAAUGCGUAGAGAUCUGGAGGAAUACCGGUGGCGAAGGCGGCCCCCUGGACGAAGACUGACGCUCAGGUGCGAAAGCGUGGGGAGCAAACAGG
rnacentral:rRNA from 1 species